rnacentral:rRNA from 1 species
UACGUAGGGGGCAAGCGUUGUCCGGAUUCAUUGGGCGUAAAGAGCUCGUAGGCGGCUUGGCAAGUCGGGUGUGAAACCUCCAGGCUCAACCUGGAGACGCCACCCGAUACUGCCAUGGCUAGAGUCCGGUAGGGGACCACGGAAUUCCUGGUGUAGCGGUGAAAUGCGCAGAUAUCAGGAGGGACACCGGUGGCGAAGGCGGUGGUCUGGGCCGGAACUGACGCUGAGGAGCGAAAGCGUGGGGAGCGAACAGG